UACGUAGGGGGCUAGCGUUGUCCGGAAUCAUUGGGCGUAAAGAGCGUGUAGGCGGCCCGGUAAGUCCGCUGUGAAAGUCGGGGGCUCAACCCUCGGAUGCCGGUGGAUACUGUCGGGCUCGAGUACGGAAGAGGCGAGUGGAAUUCCUGGUGUAGCGGUGAAAUGCGCAGAUAUCAGGAGGAACACCAAUUGCGAAGGCAGCUCGGCUGGGACGUUACUGACGCUGAGACGCGAAAGCGUGGGGAGCAAACAGG
rnacentral:rRNA from 1 species